AUGCUGAGUUUUUUCAGGUUUAUUGUGCUUGGCUUGCUUGUGUUUGACAGGCUUGAGGCAAGUUUGGGAGAUUUUUUUCUGUUUUUUGUAACUGGUACAGGCUUGUUGGUUUCUGCAGGUUUGAAACUGGCUUCAAGGUUUGUUAUGCUUGAUUCGUGUUUGACAGGCUUCAGGGCUUAUGCAGGCUUGAGGUGUUAUGCAAGCUUGUGCUUGUAUGCAGGCUUGUGCAUUUUGACAGGUUUGAAGUUUACUUGGGCAAGCUUAAAGGUUUACUUCUGGUUUGAGGCAGGCUUGUGA